rnacentral:rRNA from 1 species
UACGUAGGGGGCGAGCGUUGUCCGGAAUUAUUGGGCGUAAAGAGCGUGUAGGCUGUUCGGUAAGUCUGCCGUGAAAACCUGAGGCUCAACCUCGGGCGUGCGGUGGAUACUGCCGGGCUAGAGGACGGUAGAGGCGAGUGGAAUUCCCGGUGUAGCGGUGAAAUGCGCAGAUAUCGGGAGGAACAUCAGUGGCGAAGGCGGCUGCCUGGCCCAAUACUGACACUCAGGUGCGACAGCGUGGGGAGCAAACAGG